GAUGAACGCUGGCGGCGUGCCUAAUACAUGCAAGUCGAGCGAAUGGAUUAAGAGCUUGCUCUUAUGAAGUUAGCGGCGGACGGGUGAGUAACACGUGGGUAACCUGCCCAUAAGACUGGGAUAACUCCGGGAAACCGGGGCUAAUACCGGAUAACAUUUUGAACCGCAUGGUUCGACAUUGAAAGGCGGCUUCGGCUGUCACUUAUGGAUGGACCAGCGUCGCGUUAGCUAGUUGGUGAGGUAACGGCUCACCAAGGCAACGAUGCGUAGCCGACCUGAGAGGGUGAUCGGCCACACUGGGACUGAGACACGGCCCAGACUCCUACGGGAGGCAGCAGUAGGGAAUCUUCCGCAAUGGACGAAAGUCUGACGGAGCAACGCCGCGUGAGUGAUGAAGGCUUUCGGGUCGUAAAACUCUGUUGUUAGGGAAGAACAAGUGCUAGUUGAAUAAGCUGGCACCUUGACGGUACCUAACCAGAAAGCCACGGCUAACUACGUGCCAGCCGCCGCGGUAA
rnacentral:rRNA from 1 species